GUCUACUACACCUGUUGUAUUCAGCAUUUCACUGUAAGGUCUACUACACCUGUUGUAUUCAGCAUUUCACUGUAAGGUCUACUACACCUGCUGUAUUCAGCAUUUCACUGUAAGGUCUACCUACACCAGUUGUAUUCAGCAUUUCACUGUAAGGUCUACCUACACCAGUUGUAUUCAGCAUUUCACUGUAAGGUCUACCUACACCUGUUGUAUUCAGCAUUUCACUGUAAGGUCUACUACACCUGUUGUAUUCAGCAUUUCACUGUAAGGUCUACCUACACCAGUUGUAUUUAGCAUUUCACUGUAAGGUCUACUACACCUGUUGUAUUCAGCAUUUCACUGUAAGGUCUACUACACCUGUUGUAUUCAGCAUUUCACUGUAAGGUCUAC
ensembl:lncRNA